UGGAGGUGUUUUUUAUUGUAGACGGAAGCGAAACAAGGGUUUCGCGAUCUGUUUUUCAUUUUGUCUUCUUUCUCAUUUUACUCCGCCUCCGAGGUGAUUUUUCCAACGACGGCGACGCCGGAGCUUUUGUCCAUCUAAUCGACGGCGGACUAUCUCCUCCACGAGCUCAGGUGAGAAUCGAGUAUAUUAAAGGUUUCAUACAAUCGAUUUUGUGGUCCAAAGCGAAAUCGAUUUCCAUUGUUUCGAUCGAGUUAGGGUUCCAAAUCGAAAAGGGGGUUUUCGAUUUAUGGUUCUAAUUCGUCAUGCGGUUUGGACUUAGGGUACUUAAUCGAAUUAAGAGGCUCGUUUUAGGGUUUUAAAUCGUGUGAUUUGUGGUACAGAUGGACCCCGCAGAAGAGAGAAGAGAGAUGAAGAGGCAAAAGGAGCACUACAUCAUGCUUCAAUGCGCGGCUGAUGCGCAAUACGGGAUUCCGACGAGGUGUCUGUGUGGUUUGCGGAUCAUUAAUGAGGUUCGUGGGAAGGAGGAGUACGACAGCCUUCCUGGGAAGCGCUUUUUCACGUGCAAGAACUACGAGGUAAACGAUUCUGAGUCCCCUUUCAGUUUGUAUAAGUUAUUUGCUUAUGGAUAGUUCUGAUAUCUAUUUGUUAUGUUGUAACCAAGGAUGAUGGGUUGCAUUUUCGUCAUCCUUGGGUGUUUGGUGUCCAGGAGGAGAUCGAGAGUCUGACAAAACGUGUGAAGGAGUCCGAGGAGGUGAUUCUUUUGAUGGCAAAACUCAAGCUUCAAAUUGAAACACUGGAGGAACAGGUUCACGACCUCAAUGUCAAAGUUCGUGUCCUACAGAAGGUCUGCUUCGACUAAAAACAGAAGGUCACGGGCAUCAAGUCACAAGUUUGCAGGUCACGGGUAGUGUUAUGUUUUGUCUGUUUUAUGUCUAGUUGCUCAGUUUGUUUGACGGAAAGUGUAGCAUUUUCCUUCUGACUACACUUUUUUUUCACUUGUUUCACGGAUGUAAUGAAGACACCCACGGGUGUAUGUACUAAAAACUUGGUUCACGGAUUUGUAAACAAAACACCCACGGGUGUAUUUCUAUGGAUGCUCUAUAUAUACUAUGUCUUUCAUUAUCUGAAAAACUUCACAGCAGAAGGAAAAAAAAACUAUCAUUCGCUAGUUUCUGGAAACCAAAAACAUCAAAACUCAUUGCCUAUCUUUCUUUAUCUUUCAUUAUCUUUGCAAACCAUAACAUUUUCUAUCUCUCUGCAAACAAUUUAUUUCUCUGUUUCCAAAACAAUUGUCUAUCUUUUCACUUUCCAAAAAUACCAAAAGUGUUUUUC